UGGCGAACUGCUCAGUAACACGUGGACAACCUACCCUCAGGACUGGCAUAAACCUGGGAAACUGGGUAUAAUACCUGAUAGGGCUCGGAUGCUGGAAUGCACCGAGCCUGAAAGUUCCGACGCCUGAGGAUGGGUCUGCGGCCUAUCAGGGUAGUAGUGGGUGUAAAGUACCUACUAGCCUACGACGGGUACGGGUUGUGAGAGCAAGAGCCCGGAGAUGGAUUCUGAGACACGAAUCCAGGCCCUACGGGGUGCAGCAGGCGCGAAAACUUUACAAUGCUGGAAACAGCGAUAGGGGGACCUUGAGUGCCAGGAUACAAUUCUGGCUGUCGUCGUGCCUAAAAAGCACGGCAUAGCAAGGGCCGGGCAAGACCGGUGCCAGCCGCCGCGGUAACACCGGCGGCUCGAGUGGUAACCGCUAUUAUUGGGUCUAAAGGGUCUGUAGCCGGCUGAAAAAGUCUCUUGGGAAAUCCGGCAGCUUAACUGUCGGGCUGUCAGGAGAUACUCUUCGGCUCGGGACCGGGAGAGGUGAGAGGUACUUCAUGGGUAGGGGUGAAAUCUUGUAAUCCUUGA
rnacentral:rRNA from 1 species